rnacentral:miRNA from 1 species
UCAGUCACAUAUCUAGUGUCUA